GAUGAACGCUGGCGGCGUGCUUAACACAUGCAAGUCGAACGGAAAGGCUCCUGCUUGCAGGGGUACUCGAGUGGCGAACGGGUGAGUAACACGUGGGUGAUCUGCCCUGCACUUCGGGAUAAGCCUGGGAAACUGGGUCUAAUACCGGAUAGGACCACAUUUUGGAUGGUGUGGUGGAAAGUUUUUCGGUGUGGGAUGAGCUCGCGGCCUAUCAGCUUGUUGGUGGGGUAAUGGCCUACCAAGGCGUCGACGGGUAGCCGGCCUGAGAGGGUGUACGGCCACAUUGGGACCGAGAUACGGCCCAGACUCCUACGGGAGGCAGCAGUGGGGAAUAUUGCACAAUGGGGGCCAGCCUGAUGCAGCGACGCCGGGUGGGGGAUGACGGCCUUCGGGUUGUAAACUCCUUUCGCUAGGGACGAAGCGUUUUUGUGACGGUACCUGGAGAAGAAGCACCGGCUAACUACGUG
rnacentral:rRNA from 1 species